rnacentral:rRNA from 1 species
UACGUAGGGGGCAAGCGUUGUCCGGAAUCAUUGGGCGUAAAGCGCGCGUAGGCGGCCCGGUAAGUCCGUUGUAAAAGUCAAAGGCUCAACCUUUGAACGCCGAUGGAUACUGCCGGGCUAGAGUCCGGAAGAGGCGAGUGGAAUUCCUGGUGUAGCGGUGGAAUGCGCAGAUAUCAGGAGGAACACCGAUAGCGAAGGCAGCUCGCUGGGACGGUACUGACGCUGAGGCGCGAAAGCUAGGGGAGCGAACAGG